AUAGAAUUUUAUAUUAACUUUACCUAGCGGUUAAUGCUGGUCUUUUGUUAAUAUUUGGUUGGGAGGAUUAUUAAAUUUAACAAACUUUAUAUCAUUAUAAACUUUGAUUUAAGAAAAUAUAAUGACCUUCAAUUUGAAAUAGUUAGAGUAAAUUACCUUAGGGAUAACAGCGUAAUAUUUUUUUAUAGACCUUAUAGAAAAAAAUGGUUGCGACCUCGAUGUUGAAUUAAGAUAAAUUUUAAAUGCAGGAGUUUAAUAAUUAAGUCUGUU
rnacentral:rRNA from 1 species